rnacentral:rRNA from 1 species
AGUGAACGCUGGCGGUAGGCCUAACACAUGCAAGUCGAACGGCAGCACAGGAGAGCUUGCUCUCUGGGUGGCGAGUGGCGGACUGGUGAGGAAUACAUCGGAAUCUACUUUUUCGUGGGGGAUAACGUAGGGAAACUUACGCUAAUACCGCAUACGACCUACGGGUGAAAGCAGGGGAUCUUCGGACCUUGCGCGAUUGAAUGGGCCGAUGUCGGAUUAGCUAGUUGGCGGGGUAAAGGCCCACCAAGGCGACGAUCCGUAGCUGGUCUGCGAGGAUGAUCAGCCACACUGGAACUGAGACACGGUCCAGACUCCUACGGGAGGCAGCAGUGGGGAAUAUUGGACAAUGGGCGCAAGCCUGAUCCAGCCAUACCGCGUGGGUGAAGAAGGCCUUCGGGUUGUAAAGCCCUUUUGUUGGGAAAGAAAUCCAUCUGGUUAAUACCCGGGUGGGAUGACGGUACCCAAAGAAUAAGCACCGGCUAACUUCGUGCCAGCCGCCGCCGUAA